rnacentral:lncRNA from 1 species
UACCAUUUUGUUACAUGGUUUUCAGACAAAAAAGUACAUUUAUUACUUAUUCUCAACUACAGUACAUCCUGUAACUGAAACAGUAGUAAUUCAUCAGUACUACAACAAGUUUUAUAGACAGAGCUUUCAGUCAAGGUCACCACCCAGAACACAAGUUCAAGUCACCCUGCAGCAGUUCUGGCCAGAGAACACUGACACAACUUAGGCAUGAAUCAGCAGCACACGUAAAGAAUAGCCUCUGUACUCCAUAGAUAGCUUAGUAUUUAAACUGUUACCUUAGUUGCACAAGUACUGUGUGCAUCAUGAGCAGGGAAAUAAAAGUUCUGUGUAAUUUAGUAGUGAUUUGCACACCUGCUGAUGUCACAAGCGACCAAAACGAUAACCACCAGCACAUUUUUUCAAGUAACCACUCAUAACAAAAGCAUACAUACUGAAAUGUAAUUCACACAUUCUAAAUAACAGCACUUUAAAUGCACAUGGGAAACAAGCAGCCAUAGCACUGGGCAUUUAAGAUUAAGGACAGAGAAAUGAAAGCAGAAGAUUAUUUCACUGUUUUGAAUCUCAGUAACAAAACUAUACUUUAUAAUUGGAAAUCACAGAUUCAUAGAAAUACCUAGAUGCGUCCUGUUUCUUCAGCUACGCCCUGCUCUUCCCGUGGAAGCACACAGGGUAAGAAGAUACAGUGACAGCAUCGCGAAUUUGCCUUUUUUUUUUUUUAAGAAACUGUUAUUUGAAGCAAACCGCUUCCAGCAUCAACGACUGCACACAAUUAAAGACAACGCAGAACACCAACACCCCAGCGCAUUCACCGGGAAACGCGACAGCAAGAAGGCACCGCGAAGCUGCUGCUGCCCCAGGGGCGAGGACGGCUGUUCCCGCCGGGCAGGGCCGAGGAAGGAACCCAGCGCCCACCAAACGGCUGGGCCGGGCCGGGCCGCGCUAAGGAGGCCUUCAGAAGGCCUAACCUGAGCCGCGGCCCUCAACCGCUGCCAGCCCAGCCCAGCCCAGCCCAGCCCAGCCCUCCACGCCCCAACCCGACCUGGACCGGCCCCCUGCCCGCCAACAGCCAGCCCACAGAAGCAGCCCACCGCCCUAGCGCAGCCCAUCCCGCACCUGCACAGCUGCAGCACCCGCUCGGCCCCACGAACGCCCUCCCGCAACACCCUCUCGGGAGCGGAAGUGACGCACCACUGACCCGCACGGCCGCCGCGAUUGGCUCGUUCCUCCCACCUGGUUCCGGAGCACGCAAGCGCUGCUGGCUCGCGGAGUCGGGGACGAAGCGACGUCCAGCAGCCUCACCGACGGUUGUCGCGCCAUCUUUAAUGUGGGCAGAGAAACUUCUGGAAGCCACCCUGAGCCGCGCGCCGUCUCGUGUAGUUCUGCGUGUCACCGCUGGGACCGCAAUGCUGCCUUCUGGAGGGCCGGCUCCGAGCGCCCUCACGGCGCCUGCCGCUGCGGACGGAGCGGCGAGUGUGUACUGA